UACGUAGGGAGCAAGCGUUGUUCGGAUUUACUGGGCGUAAAGGGCGCGUAGGCGGCGCGGUAAGUCACUUGUGAAAUCUCUGAGCUUAACUCAGAACGGCCAAGUGAUACUGCAGUGCUAGAGUGCAGAAAGGGCAAUCGGAAUUCUUGGUGUAGCGGUGAAAUGCGUAGAUAUCAAGAGGAACACCUGAGGCGAAGGCGGGUCUCUGGGCCGUAACUGACGCUGAGGAGCGAAAGCAUGGGGAGCGAACAGG
rnacentral:rRNA from 1 species